CUUCCAAACAAGAAGCUUUAGAAGGUCUAGGCUUGGCAAGUUUAAUUGGCAUGUUUUUUGCAUCAUUCCUAAAACACUAUUUCUGUCUUAUUGCUCACUCCUGUCCCAAUAAGUGAAGUCUGAAUUCUUUUACUCACAUUGUAAAACAGUAAAAUUGAGGUUAAAAUGCCUCCCCGCAAAUAAGUCUAACUCUGGAAGUAUCUUAGGAAAAAACCCUGAUCUUGCAUUAUGGCACAAUGGAAAAGCCCUUUGGGGAUAAAAAUCCUAAGGCAAAUGGUCAUAUUUAAUCAAUGUGUGUACCAUGUAACUAUGAGGGCAGUGCAGUCACCCAUAAAGAAAAUUUAAAAAAAAAAACACAUCUACUAACUGCUCAAGUCCACUUUCAGGGAAAAACCUUGAAAAUGCAUCACUUUUGAUUGAAUAAGUAAGACAACAUCUCAUGGAAGACAUCUGCACAUGACAUAUGUUAGAGAAAGAGAAAAUUUCUCUAAAAUAUUAUUAGAGAUUUUAUUUAGAACAAUUUUCUUUCACAAUAAGAAAUCUGAAAGAAAAAAGUAAAAGAGUAAACUUAUGGCUUGAAGAGAAUUCACUACCUGUUUUCAUUAGAUUUUAAUAUGUUUUCAUGGAUACUCCACAAUGCCUGCCAAAUCUUAAAUGCUCAAUGAGUAUUAGUACUACCACUAGGAAAGAUUGGUGAAAGAUCCUUUGCUGUGUGUGUAGAUAAAUUUAUGUAAGUUUACUCCAGUACAGGAAUCACACAGGGUAACCAUCUACUGCCACCAUUUAUCAAACAAUGAAUUAUUGGGAGAUUUAUUUUUAAGUGUUUUUCAGUUUCUACCAUUGGUUUUGAAGAACACAUCAAAAUUACCUAUGCUUGAGAGUACGGCAUUCUCAAAUACCUUGGCCCUAAAGAGAUAACACAAACCAGACCAGCUGUGAAUUUUUUAAAAUUCUCCCAAAAAGUGUUAGCGUUAAGCUUCUCAUCUGUGCCACUGAACAGAACUGCCAAAUUCUGAAAGCAAAAUUUCCAAUAAAGAUUAAAUGAAUAUCAUUUUACAUUUCACUUACUCCAUUAAUAUCAAGUAUUAAGGUUCUAACCUAAAUAAAACAUAAAAUUCCAUAUCAUAUGAUUCACAGCCUUGAGAAAGAAAAAAUCGACUCAGAAUUUUAUUUUUAUUUAGGAUUAUGCAUUUCCUAGUCUAAUCCUGGAGCCAAUUUGUUGGAUGAAUCUAAAUUAUAUGUCUUCCAGAUAUACUCCCUUUAAGUCUUUCAACCUUAGCUUUAAACUUUUUCUUACUUUCAUCAAUUGGAGCUUUUUUCUUUUUAAAAUACAGUUUGAACGAUUCAAGCAGUACAUAUUUUUCAUACAUCAUAAAGUAGAAAAAACUAAAGAUGGUAUGACAGUCUCAUACUGCCUUCAAAACAUCAACACAUUUAAUAACUGCAGUAGUGUUUGAUUUUAAAGUGGCCAGAUCACAAAUAAUCAAUAUUAAUCCUUUAAUAAGUAAUCAGAAGCCUCAUGAAUUAAAUGUCUUCCCAAAACUCAUCUACCAUACUAGAGGUUAAACAUCCAGAAAAAUUUGAUUCUAAAUGUUUCAAACUAUGUACUUUCACUAUGUCUACACUAUGUAAGAAAAUAAAAGCCUGGAAAGUAAAAAGUCAUGGUAACACUGACUCACUUUCACAGGUGACAAAAAAAAUUGGAAAAGAUGGCAUACAAUGGAAUAUUUAUAUUUAAAAUGUCUCAGAUAAAUAGCUAAAAAUUUUGAAUAUAAUUUAAGAACAUCUUCAAAGAGAUUUAAUAUCUUGUGUGACUGUACCCCCAAAAGAUAAUGGGAUUGAAAAAACAACUGAUAGAAUUCAGCUUUAAAAGUCUUUAUUUCAAUUUUGAAGGAGUGAAAAUGACCUUCCCUUUGUCUCACAUGUGCCAACAUGAGAAAAGAUGCAAUCCUCUGACUCUGGCACAAAUGAUUUUUUAAAAUAACAAGUAAUAUAUUGUUGGGAGCAGGAACCAGGGGUCUGGCAGUGAAUGGAUGUGGAAAACCACACACUGAAGCUGGACCUCAACCAGUUCCUUAUCCUGCACUAACCUCAGCCUUCUAGACAAAGCAUCGUGCUAAUAUGAACCUGGGAAUAGCUUCAUAACAUAAACAAAGAAGUUUCUCAUGGGCCCAGGAACAUGUUUACCUUUGCUGCAUGCACAAGAAAGUGUCCUGAAGUGACUUGUACUGCUCUUUGUUUUGAAACACUAUAAAAACUCUGGAGUCCUUCAAUAAAACACCUUUUGCCUCCUGAGCAAUUGGUCUCCCUGUGUCUUCAGUCUCUCGCCUGACUCCUUCCCCGCACUGGCCGCGGCACCUGGCGCCUGAACGUGGGGCUUGGAAUACAAGCAUUCAGAGCGUUCCUCCAGUGGAAGGAGAAUCGGGAGUUCCGAGAAGACCGCUGCUAUGAGGACCCGGACGCUGAUACACCCAGGUGGAUCCCAGAACGUUGUGUACGACAUGCUCAAGAGCAAGAUAGAAAAAUUGCACAGGAAGAUGCUUCGACUAACCAUGACCUCGAGGACGAGAACAAUGACCAGAAGGCCUCCUGCAACAAGAAAUGAAACCCUUCUGUUUUUGGCUCAACUGUUAAGCAUUAUUUGGGUUUUGCAUACAUUUCAUAUAUCUGUGUGGGCGGAUAAUUAUUGGGCAUUUGUACCUAAUCCUCCUUUGUUGCACCCUAUGUCAUGGGGUGACAACAAUGAUGUUAUUGUUUAUGUAAAUAAUACUCGAGUCUUAAGUUUUCCUUCUUCCACUCAUAUACAACCUAUCUCUAUUGUAUAUAAUUACACUGGAAUGUCUACUUCAUUACCCUUAUGUUUUUCUAAAGCAAAUGAGAAUUGUACAUUAAUAGAAAGAUACUCUGAUUGGGAUGGAAACUUUGCUAAUGGAACGCACUGGGGAGUAGAUAUGAUGUAUAUAUUUCGCAACAGUAGUGAAACUAGAGUGGGAAAAGACAAUCCCCCUGAGCAUAUUCCAGAAUGUAAACAAAAAUACCCAAGCAAAAGUGUAUAUGGACCCUCAUGGCUUUUGUGCCAUCAUAAUUAUACUAUAUGUUACAAAGGUCUAUGUGAUUGGAGCUCUAGCAUUUAUCUCCAUGAUAACAAUUUUUCCAUAUCUUGUGAUAAUUGUUGUUGGGCAAAUGAGAAAUGUGUGUCUAGACUUGAAACGUUUUAAGUUAGAAUCAACUGCUAACGAAAUUCCCAUGCGACGCUUUGUUUAAGAAGAAAGGGGGAUAUGUUGGGAGCAGGAACCAGGGAUCUGGCAGUGAACAGGUGUGGAAAACCACACACUGAAGCUGGACCUCAACCAGUUCCUUAUCCUGCACUAACCUCAGCCUUCUAGACAAAGCAUCGUGCUAAUAUGAACCUGGGAAUAGCUUCAUAACAUAAACAAAGAAGUUUCUCAUGGGCCCAGGAACAUGUUUACCUUUGCUGCAUGCACAAGAAAGUGUCCUGAAGUGACUUGUACUGCUCUUUGUUUUGAAACACUAUAAAAACUCUGGAGUCCUUUAAUAAAUCGCCUUUUGCCUCCU